UGGGGAAUUUUGGACAAUGGGCGCAAGCCUGAUCCAGCCAUGCCGCGUGCGGGAAGAAGGCCUUCGGGUUGUAAACCGCUUUUGUCAGGGAAGAAACGGUCCGGGCUAAUACCCUGGAUUAAUGACGGUACCUGAAGAAUAAGCACCGGCUAACUACGUGCCAGCAGCCGCGGUAAUACGUAGGGUGCAAGCGUUAAUCGGAAUUACUGGGCGUAAAGCGUGCGCAGGCGGCUUUGCAAGACAGAUGUGAAAUCCCCGGGCUCAACCUGGGAACUGCAUUUGUGACUGCAUGGCUAGAGUGCGGCAGAGGGGGAUGGAAUUCCGCGUGUAGCAGUGAAAUGCGUAGAUAUGCGGAGGAACACCGAUGGCGAAGGCAAUCCCCUGGGCCUGCACUGACGCUCAUGCACGAAAGCGUGGGGAGCAAACA
rnacentral:rRNA from 1 species